CAUUAUUUUGAUAGACAAGGGCUGUAAGAAAAUUGUCAAAAUCAAUAAUAAUAUGAGCCAACAGCCAAACAAUAACAACUAAACUCAAUCAACUAUCUUAAUCUGCCUGAACUCAAAUCUUGUGGUCUAUAAAGUGGGAGUUUAUCUGUGUGUAAUUCAACCAUCAUGUUAGACUGAAGGAAUUGCAGUUAUCAUUAGAUUUCCCGACAGCACUGGACAAAUGACUUCUCACACUCAGUGUGACUUGAGACAAAGGAUAAACAAAGACAUUGAGUAUGUUUACAUGCACAUAAUAAGAGGACAAUUAUCCUAUUAUGAUAUUAUAAAAAUCAGCUUAUUACAUUAACAUGUUUCAAGCGUUUUAAUUUACUUUUAUUUGUGAAGUUUAUCUAUCUCAGGUGGAGACAUACGCACAUACGAAACGGCAAAAAAGACUUUAAAAUCUGGUUUAAGAGCAAAAAAACUACCUGUGCCAAUCAGUUUUUGCCAUUUAUGGGCUUUACCCUAUAAAAGAAAACAAUUUUAUGCAUUUAAAUGACCUUACACGUUAUCAGUUUAUUAAGCGUUUAGACUAUGUAGACACACUCACUGUGCACUAAAAUUAAAAAAAUUGGUUAACACGACCACUCGUGGUGGCUUCACUCAGAGGUUGGAGAAGACAACCGGUGGACUAAACAUCAAGCCUCUGCACGAUUCAGAAUUAAGACAACCUUAGCAGGAGAGCCCCAGCAGUAACUUUCUCUCAAGCAGAUGAGCAAUAAGUUGCUUUGUAUGAACACCACCCUAACAAUCAAGUAACCUGUUAACAGUAGACCAAAGGUAUGAUGAUCAAUUAUAAAUGCAAUAUGGUUGAAAGGUCAGUAAACAAACAACAAAAAGGUAAUUUCUUAAUAGAAUGUCUAUACAUUUUUUGCUUUUGUUACAUAUUUCAUACAUCAAAAUCAUUAAACGUUAAUAAUUAUGUAUUCCAACUUGUUGCAGCUUGACAAAAAUGUAGCUUGAAGGAGAAGGGACAGCUGAGUAACAAAGUCCUGGUAUGCAGACGACGAUACUAUUACACUGACAAGAGUGUAAUGAUGAUGGAGACACAAGCCAGAGAAAGGGGGGACCAAACACCAGGCCAGAAUUCUGCAUGAGUCAGAUCCAGUGGGUGCAGAUCAUCAUACAGAUGGUUCAAGUGUGGAUCCACCUAAUAUUCAAGAUUUUCUGUCCUGGGACACUCGGCUAACCAUCAAGAAAGAACACACUCCAGUGGGCAUCCUUUAUCCAUCCAGACCCUCAUACAGAUGUUGGAGUUUUGAUUCACCUAAAGUACCAUGCAAGAGCACUCAUUUUCCCUCUUGAGACCAUGGUGUGACCUGCAAGGUCGAAUGGAGACUGUAAGCGAGACAAUCUUGGAGUCACCUGCAUUGACUGGUCCAGUUGUUAGUCCAAUUACAGAUGGAGAUUAUAGAAGAGGAUGAUGUCUUUUCUCCAACAUCUUUCUAGACUGAUAAAAGAUCUAGACAGGCUUGAACAAAAGUUAACAGAGGGGCUUAUAUAGAGAAUGGUGAGCAGCUACACAUAAAAGAAGAACAUGGAGAAUCUGCCCAGAGGUGUUAACCAGCAAUGCAGCUAUACAACUAAAGUGAUGCAGGCGGAAACAAUGUGUAAUGCAGCUGCUGCAGAUGAAGAAUCCGUCCGUCUACCACUGAAGGAGACGCGGAAAAUCGGGAAAAGAUGUUCUUUGCCCGAGGAAGCAUUUGAUUAAUUUAAAGAUAUUGUGUUUCUUUGUAUGUUAUAGAAAAACGUUGCUUUUUUGCAUACACUCGUGUAAAUAUGCAUCUUAUGAAUGUUUUCCUUUGUCUAAUUUUAAUAAAUUUUACGCAAUCAA